rnacentral:sRNA from 1 species
UAUUCUGCCCCACGGGGAAGGAUGAGAAGCUUCGACCAAGGUUCGACUCGAGCGAAGCGAGAGAACGUUGCCGCAGGCAACGGCCCGAAGGGCGAGGCGCUUUAGCGCCGAGUA